rnacentral:rRNA from 1 species
CCUACGGGCGGCAGCAGUGAGGAAUAUUGGUCAAUGGACGUGAGCCUGAACCAGCCAAGUCGCGUGAGGGAUGAAGGUUCUAUGGAUCGUAAACCUCUUUUAUAUGGGAAUAAAGUGUGGGACGUGUCGUAUUUUGUAUGUACCUUAUGAAUAAGGAUCGGCUAACUCCGUGCCAGCAGCCGCGGUAAUACGGAGGAUCCGAGCGUUAUCCGGAUUUAUUGGGUUUAAAGGGUGCGUAGGCGGCUUUUUAAGUCAGUGGUGAAAGUUUGUGGCUCAACCGUAGAAUUGCCGUUGAAACUGGGGGGCUUGAGUACGUUAGAGGUAGGCGGAAUGCGUGGUGUAGCGGUGAAAUGCUUAGAUAUCACGCAGAACUCCGAUUGCGAAGGCAGCCUGCCAAGCCAUGACUGACGCUGAUGCACGAAAGUGUGGGUAUCAAACAGGAUUAGAUACCCCUGUAGUC